UAAGGAAUAUUGGACAAUGGGCGGAAGCCUGAUCCAGCCAUGCCGCGUGCAGGAAGACGGCGCUCAGCGUUGUAAACUGCUUUUGGGUGGGAACAAUAACCUCUACGAGUUAGGGGCUUGAGGGUACCAUCAGAAUAAGCACCGGCUAACUCCGUGCCAGCAGCCGCGGUAAUACGGAGGGUGCAAGCGUUAUCCGGAAUCACUGGGUUUAAAGGGUGCGUAGGCUGUUCGGUAAGUCAGUUGUGAAAUU
rnacentral:rRNA from 1 species